GAGAAAACGUGAAAAGUGCGCGCGUAAUGUAAAAAAGAGGAAGUAGAAGGGAAAAGCCGGCUGCAGGUCACAGACUUUUACCGCGGAGGAGGCGCUUCGGUGGUUCUGGAGAUCCUGAAACAGAUCGACAGCAGCGCAGAGAGAACGCUACAGGUGGACAGUCCUCAAAACGUGGUUCCAGUGACGCCUCGAGUGGCUCAGCUGGAGCAUCUGGUGGAUGUACAAUGGC